GAAUGGCACCACGAAGGUUAUACUGUCUCCUUUUUCUAAUCAGUGAAACUAAUCUCCCCGUGAAGAAGCGGGGAUACAGCUAUAAGACGAGAAGACCCUAUGGAGCUUUAAACAACACAGCAAUUACCAACUGAACUACAAAGUUUCUGAACAUUUUAAUAUUUUAAGUAAUCUGACUGCAAGUUUUUGGUUGGGGUGACCACGGAGCAUAACAUAACCUCCAUGUUGAAAGAAUUCUUUCUAAGCUAAGAACAACCUUUCUAAGCAUCAAUAUAUUGACAUCCAUUGACCCAAUACAUUUGACCAACGAACCAAGUUACCCUAGGGAUAACAGCGCAAUCCACUUCAAGAGCUCCUAUCGACAAGUGG
rnacentral:rRNA from 1 species